AGACUUGAAAGGCUUAGGGGGAAAGUUCUAUCUAUAAUUAGCUGCCGCUGAACUUGAAGUUUGGUAAGUAAUUUCCCGAGGUAACUUAAUCAGUUUUCUUAUUUCUUUUCUUUCUUCUUUUUCCUUUAGACUGGAGUGUAUGCUGAAUUUAAUAUCAUAGUAGGACUUGAUGGUGCGCGUAUUACUGCAGGCUUGUAUCCUAGCUAAUGAAGAGGAUUGAGAUGUACUCCUUUAAGGGCUGCAACUUGAUGCCAUAUAUAGUGAGACCUAUUUAUAUAUAUGUCUAGUCUUCUGCAAACUUGUUGCACUGCGGAGAUAUCAGUCGGUAAGUCAACAGAUAAUUUAAGGACAAUUCAAUUACAAGACACUGGCGCGACUUUGAACAGUGCAUUUUAUUUGAUUAUUCAGUUUUAUUAGUCGCCCUAAUAUGCUACUCUUGUCAAUGGAUGUCCCUAUUAUUUCCAACUUUUUCUUAAAUCUUGUCAUCUAUGAUGCACAAAAGUACUAAUCUUUAUCUUCUUUUUGUUCUUACGCAUCUUGUAGGGUCACUACAAGGCAAAAUGAUCCUGCCAAUAUUAGGCUUUUGCUGUGGAUGAAUAGAAGUCCAGGAGUUGCUGUCACUAAAACAAACUGCCUUUUGUUUUAAUUAAUCACUAAAACAAGCUGCCUUUUGUUUUAAUUAAGUUGGCUUCAGCCAUUAGCAACUAGUUUUGUUGGUUUUAGUUUCCGUCAUAUUAGCAUCAACUUUUCUAUUUCGCAUUAUGUGUUUAUGCGACUACAUUUCCUAUCAUGAAGGUUUAAUCUCUGCACAUAUAAUAUAUUUAAGGGAGA
rnacentral:lncRNA from 1 species